rnacentral:misc_RNA from 1 species
AGUUGAAAGACUCCCAAACCAAUGUGAACUUACCCGUGACGUUGCUUCGGCGGGCGGCUCCAGGGGGAGCCGUCGCCCCCCGCGAGGGUGGUGCCCGCCGGAGGACCCCAAACCAUACUUGAAUCAGUGGCCCAUCUGAGACAGCUUCAAUAAUCAAAACUUUCAACAACGGAUCUCUUGGUUCUGGCAUCGAUGAAGAACGCAGCGAAAUGCGAUAAGUAAUGUGAAUUGCAGACUUCAGUGAAUCAUCGAAUCUUUGAACGCACAUUGCGCCCGCCAGCAUUCUGGCGGGCAUGCCUGUCCGAGCGUCAUUUCAACCCUCAAGCCCAGCUUGGUGUUGGGGCACCACGGCCCGGCCGUGGGCCCCGAAAUUUAGUGGCGGGCCCUCUGGGAGUCCGGGCGUAGUAGCGAUAUGUCGCCCGCGGCCCCCCGGAGGCGCUCCUGCCGUUAAACCCCCCAAAUCACAGAAGGUUGACCUCGGAUCAGGUAGGACUACCCGCUGAACUUAAGCAUAUCAAUAAGCGGAGGAAAAGAAACCAACAGGGAUUGCCCUAGUAACGGCGAGUGAAGCGGCAACAGCUCGAAUUUGAAAUCUGGCCUCGGCCCGAGUUGUAAUCUGUAGAGGACGCUUUUGGCGCGGUGCCUUCCGAGUUCCCUGGAACGGGACGCCACAGAGGGUGAGAGCCCCGUAAGGUCGGACACUAAGCCUCUGUAAAGCUCCUUCGACGAGUCGAGUAGCUUGGGAAUGCUGCUCUAAGCGGGAGGUAAACUUCUUCUAAAGCUAAAUACUGGCCAGAGACCGAUAGCGCACAAGUAGAGUGAUCGAAAGAUGAAAAGCACUUUGAAAAGAGGGUUAAAUAGUACGUGAAAUUGUUGAAAGGGAAGCGCUCAUGACCAGACUUGCGCCUGGCGGAUCAUCCGGUGGUCUCCACCGGUGCACUCCGCCUGGCGCAGGCCAGCGUCGGCUGUUGCGGGGGGACAAAAGCUCUGGGAACGUAGCUCUCUCCGGGGAGUGUUAUAGCCCUCUGCAGAAUACCCCCGCGGCGGCCGAG